UUCAGAAAAUACUCGUACCCAUUCAGCAAGUAUUAAAAGAAGGCCUCUUAGACAAGACGGAAAUUGACGAGGUGGUUCUAGUUGGGGGUUUCCUCGGAUCCGCCAAGUUAUUCAGGAGUUCUUUGGAAAGGACCCGAAUACAUCUGUAGACCCUGACCUGGCAGUGGUGACAGGAGUGGCCAUCCAAGCUGGGAUUGAUGGAGGCUCCUGGCCUCUCCAAGUUAGUGCUUUGGAAAUUCCCAAUAAGCAUUUACAGAAAACCAACUUCAACUGAACUGAGGGAGUGCUGGUAACUGACCCUGUCUUGGCGUGUUAAGGAUUUCCAUGUGACGCCUCCUCCAGAAAAGGAGUCCAUGAAGUCACUCAAAAAUUCCCAAAAGGACAUUUAUACAGGACAACUUUACAUAGUGUUUUGUUUUAGAAUCGAAUAUGACCAGAUGAGUCUUGUUUGGGUGUGCAAAAAAAAAAAGCUCAGUAUUUCUAAAGUAACAGAGUUGAGUAAAACUCUCCUGGAUUCUGGAAGUAGGUAGCCAUCCGCACUUACUAGUCUGGAAACUUUAAAUAGUGCCAACUAUGAGGCCCAAGUUCUUACUGAAUUUUAUUAGUAGGGGCUGAUAAUUUCUUUAUUUGGUUUUCACAUAUAGCUCUUAAGGACUUGAAGAACUGUUAUGUCAGGUAUUUACACUGGCUGGGAGAUAGCAGUAUUAUUAAACUGCAUAGAUAGUAUUCACCAACUGCCAUGUAAUUUGUACUUUCAAAAAUCCACUAUCUUUUUACAUAUUACAUCCUCCUAAUCUACAGAUUUUAAUAUAUUUGAAAGACCAGUUUUUCUUCCCAAAAUAGCUAAAGAUUUAUUCAGAUCUCUUUCUGCCAGAUAGUAGAACAUGCCCUGUUUAAACUGUAGUCUUUUUAUCUUCAGGGCGUCAUUUUCUGCUUGUAUUUUCACACCUCUGCUUUGUAAGAAUAAAAAAGACAGUAGAAAGUUACCAGUUGCCUUUUCAAAGCGUUGAUGUCACAAUAAAGCUGUAUUACUCUC
rnacentral:lncRNA from 1 species